UAUCCUGCAUUCCCAAAUAAACUGAUGUGUUGUGGUAUUUCUUUGUAGCUGGAAUCAGAAACUUUUGUUGUCACGUUAUCAAAUAAGCUACACUUUUCAGAGUAUGAUUCGUGAAGUAAACACACGAGGAGUUGGGUUUUAACUCAAUUACACUACUUGACAAGAAAUUUAACAGGUGGAUAUAAGCAAGUUAGAUUCUUGCAUUCAAAGAAAAACCAAAAACUCCAGUAGCUGCAGAGUUAUGAGGUGCAUUGUCAUUUAAUAAACGAAUUUUUGAGUGGAUUCUCACCAUUGGGACAUUAACAUAUUUCUUCUCCUCCACAAGUAAGCUCUCGCAAGUAUUUCACAGUAGUUAUUUCAUUAUGUCCAUAGGUGCUCCAUUUCAUUGUUGUUAUUGCAUUCACUUCCAUAUUCUCUUUUUCAAACAGCUUUGAUAUACUCUACUUGAGCCAAUGAUCAAUCGGAAACAACCUUUCUAUCUCUAUGAAGUAGUAAUAAGGUUCGCAUACACUCUACCCUCCUUAAACCCACUUUUAAGAUUACAUGGAGAGUGUGUUGCUCUUCUCGAACUAGGCCAACUCUGAGGAUGCAGCUUCUCCUAAAGCAGGAUGAAAGAGAGUAAGAACUUUAACAUAAUAGUGGAUAGAAAAGAAGUAACAUAUCUGCAACUACACCAAAUAUGAAAAAAAGGUCCUGCACAACUUGUUUCUCAAGCUGGACUGCAGACUCUUGUGUAGCAAUGAAUCAAAAACCCCAUUGCUCAUACGGCUUAGAUGAUAUAUUGCCUUGUCUGGACUAUGCCAUUGCACAAGAGACCAUGACCAAAAGCAAGGAACCGACAACCUGGUAGAAGAUCUCAGGAUGUCUUAAAGCUCCUUUAACAAGUUGAGAUCAGUAAAGUACUAUCUUGUUUAAGAAAUUCUCCAGCCUAGAAGAUCUUGAAGUUUCCCUAAUGGGAAAUUAAUAAGCAUGUCCAACUUUAGUGCGCAUACAGCCUACAUGUUUCAGUAAGAAAACAGUCACAAUGUGCUUGUAAAAGAUGGAUAAUUUUGAUUGAGUUUAUGUUCUGACCACAAUCAGGUUAAACUGACCUAUAACAAAGUGUAACUCAAAUAAUAACCUGAAAAGUAAGUUAUAAAC